rnacentral:piRNA from 1 species
AGAUGAAGUAGAUUGGAGAAUAAAUGU